rnacentral:lncRNA from 1 species
GACCACACAGAAUGCUCUCCUCCUAUGUCAUCCAUGUUCCCUUAUUGUGUCACACAGUGCAUGUGGGAGCUCCGUGUGAUUGCCCAAAAGAAGGCCCACCUCCCCUUGCUGCAGUGAACUUGCUCCUACCAGCAGUGAGGACUACGUGGCAGCUAGUCUGUGAAGCCUCAUGAACUGGGAUCUAACAAGUUGCAGAGUCAGACGUGAAGCAAGUGCACACAGAUGCCUCCACCAAGCUGAGGGGAGCUGAAGUAGCUCAGCCUGCUUCACUGUGCUCAUCGCCCUUGACCUCAGAUAUCUCCAGUGCAAGGGGCUUGAAACGGGCAGCUCAGGGAUAAGGGAGGCAAUGGUUCAUUUGGAGGAGGAAAGGAGCUGCCUGUUUUCUUUAGAGCCAGUUGUGAUUCCCGUACGUCUUAGGAACUGCAACAUGAUCUUCAGCUCUGCUGUUUGGCAGAUACUGCCAUCACUACAACCACCCCCUGGUGCCUGCUCACACAUCAGCUGGAUAUGUGUGCCUCUGGAUCCAAAAGAGAAGAGAGAAGAUGUAUCUUCUCUCUCACCACUGCAGCUGGAAGUGCAAGAUGCCAACAGAAGCUGCUGGUGGAAGCGGGCGCAUGCUGCUGCUGUGCAUCACAGCAGCUACAGCCUAGACUAGUUCUGCUCCAUCUUUACAAGCCUUUUGUACCUAUACAGUUACAAGGACUUAAGAGCUGAACUUUCUUUUUUGCUUUUCUCCUAACAAAGACACGGCCUGCUUGGGGUUGGAUUUUGGUUGUUUCUGUUUACUCUGACAAUAUGCUUGAAAUGGACAUGAGAGGAGACCCUGCCAUUUGGACGCAGCAUCUGUAUUUUUCUCCCUUUCAUUAAAUGAAAUGCAAUGUCCAUAAACAACGUAGCACACAAAGGUCUCUUUCGUACCUUGAUGCAUAGCAGAGCACGGUGUUGAUGACAGCUCUCACAUCUAUUGGUUUUCUCUGCCAGGCUAAAUCUAGUUGCAAAAAAAUGAUAGAAAUAACUUUUAAAGGUCUUCGUUUCAAGUCCCAAUACUUGCCCUAUGUCUGAAAGAUUGUAAAGAUGAGAUACUGGGUGAAUUGUGAUGUGUGCACAGCAUAUAUGAUUUAAGAUAGUGAAACCAAAAGAAAUAUGUGAAAAACAGGCCUGAAUUUCAAGGGUCAUCUUUAAAUGUUCACACUGUACAAGUUUCUAAAUCUUUCAGUGGAGCAAUUAUUUAAUAAAUCCAUUUGUCCUCAGUUCCGAAAUUGAAAA